AGUGAGUGUGCGAGGAGGGUCUCCCUGACGACGGCCGUCCCUCCGCCGCGGGGCUUUUCUGCACCACGGAGGCUGCCCCUCUGCAGAGGUUUCCCCGCAGUGGAGGUUUCCCCCGUUAUGGAGCCGUCCCCGUGACGGAGGUUUCCCCAUCACUGAGGUUCCCCCACGGUGGGGUUCCCUCUAUGGCAGAGGUUCCCCCGUUCUGGGCACUCCCGCACGGCAGAUGGUGGAAAUAUCCUCCUGGUGAAGGUCUCCCCAAUCGCGGAGGUUCCUCCCUGCUGGAGGUGUCCCCACAGCGGAGGUUUGUCCUACAGUGGAGCUUUCCUCCUUGAUGGAGCCUUCCCCGCUGAUGGACGUUCCCCCAUUAUUGAGGCUCCCCCAGGAUGGAGGCUUCUUCACAGUAGGGUCCCACCGAGAUGGAGGUCCCCCAUCGGUUUCCCCGUGACAGAGGUUUCCCAUAACCGGGGUUCCCCUAUGGUGGAGGUUUCCCCAUUAGGGAUGUUUCCCCGUCACUGAGGUUUCUCUGCAAUGGAGGAUCCCAUUGAUGGAGGGUCCCCUUAACGGAGCUUCCUCCCAUGAUGGAGGCUCCACUGAUGGAGGUUCCCCCAUUGAUAGAGGUUCCCCCAUUGAUGGAGGUACUCCCCAUAAGCGCGGUUCCCACUGAUGGAGGUUCCCAUUGAUGGAGGUUCCCCACUGAUGGAGGUUCCCACUGAUGGAGGUUCCCAUUGAUGGAAGUUCCCCCAUUGAUGGAGGUGCUCCCCAUGAGCGCGGUUCCCACUGAUGGAGGUUCCUAUUGAUGGAGGUUCCCAAUGGUGGAUGUUCCCCACUGAUGGAGGUUCCCACUGAUGGAUGUUCCCACUGAUGAAGGCUCCCAUUGAUGGAGGCUCCCCAGCGCAGCCCCCCACCCUGGCAGGCUAUGGGGCAGAGGAGCACUGGGAGGAGAAGCAGUGGGGCAGCGGUGUCGGGUUUGUGCAGACGUGGAGCUGUGUGGGGCUGAGCCCCCCGCGCUGCCCCCC
ensembl:lncRNA